rnacentral:rRNA from 1 species
GAUGAACGCUAGCUACAGGCUUAACACAUGCAAGUCGAGGGGAAACGACAUCGAAAGCUUGCUUUUGAUGGGCGUCGACCGGCGCACGGGUGAGUAACGCGUAUCCAACCUGCCCAUCACUUGGGAAUAACCUUGCGAAAGUAAGACUAAUACCCAAUGACAUCCCACGAAGACAUCUGAAUGGGAUUAAAGAUUUAUCGGUGAUGGAUGGGGAUGCGUCUGAUUAGCUUGGUGGCGGGGUAACGGCCCACCAAGGCAACGAUCAGUAGGGGUUCUGAGAGGAAGGUCCCCCACAUUGGAACUGAGACACGGUCCAAACUCCUACGGGAGGCAGCAGUGAGGAAUAUUGGUCAAUGGGCGAGAGCCUGAACCAGCCAAGUAGCGUGCAGGAUGACGGCCCUAUGGGUUGUAAACUGCUUUUAUAAGGGAAUAAAGUGGGUCUCGUGAGACUUUUUGCAUGUACCUUAUGAAUAAGGACCGGCUAAUUCCGUG